rnacentral:tRNA from 1 species
GCGCCAUUAGCUCAGUUGGUAGAGCAGCUGACUCUUAAUCAGCGGGUCCGGGGUUCGAAUCCCUGAUGGCGUA